UGUUAGUUUGGACUCUCUCCUCUUUCUCCUGUCUUCUAUAUCUCAAAAUAUGAGGAUGCUUACCCAAAGUAUAGGGGAAAGCUAAUAAAUAUUGUGUAAAGGGGCUGUUACCUGGAAACAAAGAAAUCUGUGAUGUGCUGCUGAGAAACCUGGUAGCAAUUGACCUAAAGAGUGAAAAAAUAAUGGUGUGACUCAGCUAUGGAGAAUGUGCCCAACAUGCAACGUGCCUUGCUUCCUGUUGCCACCAGUACCUGCUGAGGUGCUGAGGAGUUGGCUUCAAUGUGUCCUGACCAAAUGAAGUCCUGAGAGCUGUGGGACAGUUUUGAGCAGCUGCGUGGGACCUCAGCAGUCACCAAGGUUACCUUGCCUUUCAAGUUUGGGUUGUGAAAAAGAAGUGGAAAAACAAAGUGAAGUGUGAUGGAUUAUAAAACUCUGCCAACAGUGAACUUUGUUUUCUGACAAAAUAAGAGUGGUUUUGCUUGCGUAAAUGUUUGAGUCACCUCACUUAAUAUUUGCCUAUUUACUUUUAUGGACUGAAGUGUCCCUGUACUAAAAAAGCGAGUUGUGGGUUUGCAAAAUAAAUUCAACUUGUUUGAGAAAA